rnacentral:rRNA from 1 species
UUCUUUGACUAUUUUUCUUGUUUGCAUCUUGUAAAAAUUGACUUUUAAACAGGGUUGGGCCUGAUUAGUACUUGGAUGGGAGACCACCUAGGAAAACCAGGUGCUGUAGGCA